ACGCUGGCGGUAGGCUUAACACAUGCAAGUCGAGCGAGAAAGUAUCUUCGGAUAUGAGUAGAGCGGCGGACGGGUGAGUAACGCGUAGGAAUCUACCUAGUAGAAGGGGAUAGCCCGGGGAAACUCGGAUUAAUACCGUAUACCUCCUUAGGGAGAAAGAGGGCCUCUCUUGAAGCUCUCGCUAUUAGAUGAGCCUGCGUAAGAUUAGCUUGUUGGUGAGGUAAUGGCUUACCAAGGCUACGAUCUUUAGCUGGUCUGAGAGGACGAUCAGCCACAUUGGGACUGAGACACGGCCCAGACUCCUACGGGAGGCAGCAGUGGGGAAUAUUGGACAAUGGGCGCAAGCCUGAUCCAGCCAUACCGCGUGUGUGAAGAAGGCCUUCGGGUUGUAAAGCACUUUAAGCAGGGAGAAAAAGCAAUAAGUUAAUACCUUAUUGCCGUGAUGUUACCUGCAGAAUAAGCACCGGCUAAUUCCGUGCCAGCAGCCGCGGUAAUACGGAAGGUGCAAGCGUUAAUCGGAAUUACUGGGCGUAAAGCGCGCGUAGGUGGUUUGUUAAGUUGGAUGUGAAAGCCCUGGGCUCAACCUAGGAACUGCAUCCAAAACUAACUCACUAGAGUACGAUAGAGGGAGGUAGAAUUCAUAGUGUAGCGGUGGAAUGCGUAGAUAUUAUGAAGAAUACCAGUGGCGAAGGCGGCCUCCUGGAUCUGUACUGACACUAAGGUGCGAAAGCGUGGGUAGCGAACAGGAUUAGAUACCCUGGUAGUCCACGCCGUAAACGAUGACAACUAGCUGUUGGGAGACAAUGUCUUUCAGUGGCGCAGCUAACGUUUUAAGUUGUCCGCC
rnacentral:rRNA from 1 species